AACAGUAACAGUUCUUUUUACCCAGCAAAGUGCCUCCUCCAAGGUCCGCGAACCAUUGAGGGUUUUUGGGGGGUUUCAGGGCUGGGAGUAGAGAGAGCAUGAGUGAAGAUUGGACCACUCCCAGGACUAGACCAGAGAAUAGGAGAUUGCUGCUUACUGACUAUUAUAUUCCUACUACUCGACCUCUAGUAGGUGGUAGGUAUAUAGUACUUGAGUAUUAAUUUAAUAUCUGACUGUUAUUGAUAAGAACAGUCCUGAAUAUUAGUAUAUUGCUUUACAAUUCUUAAAGUGGCUUUCCGUGAUUCCCAAACAGCACCCAUCUCUUGAGCAGAGACCCAAGAGGGCAGGACAGGAAGAAUGGAAGUGAGAUUUGGCCCCGGUCAUGUUUUCCAAAGUGCUGACAUCAGGAAAAUAAUAGAAGUUAACGCAGAUAUGGGGCUGCCACUGAGGAGAGAGAAGACUGAAAGAAGCAUAUAGAUAAAAGAUUAUCUGAGUAGGCUGAACCAUCGGUGAAAAGGAGGCCAAGCAUCUCAAAAAUAGGACACGUGAGAGUAUGGAGCCAAUGUGACACUCAGGUGAGUUAGCCUUAUGAUCCCUAAGCAUGCAGUCCUUGGACCAGAUGCAUCAGGAUCUUCUGGUAAGUGUGCUAAAAUAUAGGCUACUGAGACCCACCCUAUGUCUGUCAAAUCAGAAUAUUCUAAGGAAGCAGGUCCCAGGGAAUAUAUAUUUUAAAGCUCCCUAAAUACACUUCAUGGGCUGCCAGAUUUGGGAAUCGCAGGAUUAGGUAGCUACCUAAAUGAAGACACUUAAAUGUGCCAAAAGCUUCUCUUUCACCCAUCCAUUUAUCCAUCUAUUCACCCAUCCAUCAACCAAACAUGUGCCAGUAUCUGGUAUUUGCUUCAUGACCUGCUACUGCUGUGGUGGGUGCAAAGAUAAAUGAUCAAUGUUCUCAAAGAGUCAAUAGUCUAAGAGAAUGGAUGAAUGAAGUAUAAAUAAUAAAAGAUGUGCUAUGAAGUACGAUAGGGGUCCAGAAAAGUAUAUACUUAUUCCAGAUUGUGGCAGAAGACUCUGGAGAGGUUUCGUUUUAUAUAAUGGCAUGAAUUCCCCUUCAGAUCCAUCUCUAAAUCAAGCUUCACCUACUUCUGACUGUUUGUGUUAGAUACCAAUCCUAUGGAUUUCUAUAGUUUUCUGGAAUUACUUUUUACACACUACAGUAGAGUUAUGUGGCUGCUUCCAUGUUUUACUUAGAAGCUGAGAGCUUGAUAAAAGUGAAGGCUGCAUCUUAAUCAUCACCUUUUCCCCCACCUCCUAGCUAGGGUCUGGCUCUGCCUAAGCAGCUGCCAUUGGUGCUCAAUAAACAUUGAAGAAGUUGGGUUGUUGCACUGGUUAUGCAAAGAAAGGGACACAGUGGGUGUAAGCGUGGGGCGGGGAGCAAAGCUGGGACCAAUCAUGGAACACCUAGAAUUUGAAUCAAAUUUGGGCUUUAGUUUUUAGGCAAUGAGCCUAAGACAAUUUUGGAAGCAUCCUUUGUUCACAAAAAAGUUAGAAAUGGUGAGAACUAGGGCAGUCUAUCACAAAGUGUGGGAGAGGUA
rnacentral:lncRNA from 1 species